rnacentral:rRNA from 1 species
UGGCUCAGGACGAACGCUGGCGGCGUGCCUAAUACAUGCAAGUAGAACGCUGAAGGAGGAGCUUGCUUCUCUGGAUGAGUUGCGAACGGGUGAGUAACGCGUAGGUAACCUGCCUGGUAGCGGGGGAUAACUAUUGGAAACGAUAGCUAAUACCGCAUAAUAGCAGUUAUUGCAUGAUAACUGUUUGAAAGGUGCAAUUGCACCACUACCAGAUGGACCUGCGUUGUAUUAGCUAGUUGGUGGGGUAACGGCUCACCAAGGCGACGAUACAUAGCCGACCUGAGAGGGUGAUCGGCCACACUGGGACUGAGACACGGUCCAGACUCCUACGGGAGGCAGCAGUGGGGAAUCUUCCGCAAUGGGCGAAAGCCUGACGGAGCAACGCCGCGUGAGUGAUGACGGCCUUCGGGUUGUAAAACUCUGUGAUCCGGGACGAAAAGGCAGAGUGCGAAGAACAAACUGCAUUGACGGUACCGGAAAAGCAAGCCACGGCUAACUACGUGCCAGCAGCCGCGGUAAUACGUAGGUGGCAAGCGUUGUCCGGAAUUAUUGGGCGUAAAGCGCGCGCAGGCGGCUUCCCAAGUCCCUCUUAAAAGUGCGGGGCUUAACCCCGUGAUGGGAAGGAAACUGGGAAGCUGGAGUAUCGGAGAGGAAAGUGGAAUUCCUAGUGUAGCGGUGAAAUGCGUAGAGAUUAGGAAGAACACCGGUGGCGAAGGCGACUUUCUGGACGAAAACUGACGCUGAGGCGCGAAAGCGUGGGGAGCAAACAGGAUUAGAUACCCU